GAUGGCGUAGUAUAGUUGGUAGUACCCCGCCCGCGCACUGAAAACGUGGACCGACUGGUCGGAGACGUGAGUUCGAUUCUCACCGCCAUCU